rnacentral:rRNA from 1 species
UACGUAGGGCGCGAGCGUUGUCCGGAAUUAUUGGGCGUAAAGAGCUCGUAGGCGGUCUGUUACGUCGGCUGUGAAAACCUGGGGCUCAACCCCGGGCCUGCAGCCGAUACGGGCAGACUAGAAUUCGGUAGGGGAGACUGGAAUUCCUGGUGUAGCGGUGAAAUGCGCAGAUAUCAGGAGGAACACCGGUGGCGAAGGCGGGUCUCUGGGCCGAUAUUGACGCUGAGGAGCGAAAGCGUGGGGAGCGAACAGG